AGCUCAAGACUGACAGUGUAUAUUUAAAUUGGACCUUAUUGGAAAUGGGCUAGACUCGGCCCUAAUGGGCGUUCCUGAUGCUCAUUACGUGAUGUAGACAAAGAAGCCACAACUAUCAGGGAAGAAUGUCCGGACUCAAUCGUGAAAGGGCAACAGAACUUACCAAUUAUUCGUAAAUAGCCAGAAAUUGUGUAACUCAUCAAGCUUCCUGAAAGAAUUCUGGAUAUGAAAUUAAUUAAAAUAUAGUGUAAAUUUUAUUUUUUAAAUGUUUUCCUCUGCAAUAAUCUCAGAAAUAAUGUUAGCAAUAUGUAGUAGGCCUAAUUCUUAUGUUUAUAAAUAUUGUACUAUUACUGCUAAUAUUUAUCUUAUUAAUAGAGAAAGUAACCCGUUUGUUGUAAAGAAUAUAGACAUGUAAGAUAAUAAGAUAUAACAUUUCCAGGAUUAAAAUCAGAUUUAUUGAUA